rnacentral:rRNA from 2 species
AAAUUGAAGAGUUUGAUCAUGGCUCAGAUUGAACGCUGGCGGCAGGCCUAACACAUGCAAGUCGAACGGUAACAGGAAGCAGCUUGCUGCUUCGCUGACGAGUGGCGGACGGGUGAGUAAUGUCUGGGAAACUGCCUGAUGGAGGGGGAUAACUACUGGAAACGGUGGCUAAUACCGCAUAACGUCGCAAGACCAAAGAGGGGGACCUUCGGGCCUCUUGCCAUCAGAUGUGCCCAGAUGGGAUUAGCUUGUUGGUGAGGUAACGGCUCACCAAGGCGACGAUCCCUAGCUGGUCUGAGAGGAUGACCAGCCACACUGGAACUGAGACACGGUCCAGACUCCUACGGGAGGCAGCAGUGGGGAAUAUUGCACAAUGGGCGCAAGCCUGAUGCAGCCAUGCCGCGUGUAUGAAGAAGGCCUUCGGGUUGUAAAGUACUUUCAGCGGGGAGGAAGGUGUUGCGGUUAAUAACCGCAGCAAUUGACGUUACCCGCAGAAGAAGCACCGGCUAACUCCGUGCCAGCAGCCGCGGUAAUACGGAGGGUGCAAGCGUUAAU